GACGAACCGUGCGAACGUUAUUCGGAAUCACUGGGCUUAAAGCGCGUGUAGGCGGGCCGGCGCGUCGGUUGCUGAAAGCCCCCGGCUCAACCGGGGAAGCGGCGCCGAUACGGCCGGCCUGGAGGGGGGUAGGGGGACCUGGAACUUCCGGUGGAGCGGUGAAAUGCGUUGAGAUCGGAAGGAACGCCCGUGGCGAAAGCGAGGUCCUGGACCCUUUCUGACGCUGAGACGCGAAAGCCAGGGGAGCGAACGGG
rnacentral:rRNA from 1 species